rnacentral:rRNA from 1 species
CCUACGGGAGGCAGCAGUGAGGAAUAUUGGUCAAUGGACGAGAGUCUGAACCAGCCACGUAGCGUGAAGGAUGACUGCCCUAUGGGUUGUAAACUUCUUUUAUAUGGGAAUAAAAUGUUCCACGUGUGGGAUUUUGUAUGUACCAUAUGAAUAAGGAUCGGCUAACUCCGUGCCAGCAGCCGCGGUAAUACGGAGGAUCCGAGCGUUAUCCGGAUUUAUUGGGUUUAAAGGGAGCGUAGGUGGAUUGUUAAGUCAGUUGUGAAAGUUUGCGGCUCAACCGUAAAAUUGCAGUUGAAACUGGCAGUCUUGAGUACAGUAGAGGUGGGCGGAAUUCGUGGUGUAGCGGUGAAAUGCUUAGAUAGCACGAAGAACUCCGAUUGCGAAGGCAGUUCACUGGACUGCAACUGACACUGAGGCUCGAAAGUGUGGGUAUCAAACAGGAUUAGAUACCCCAGUAGUC